UUGCAUACUUUAAUGCUGACUGUCUAAUGUCAAACAUAUUCAAUUUUGACUACUCAUGGCGUUCCAAUUUUAUCCGUUCCAAUAUAGCAUCAUUUAAAAAAUUACUGCAAAUAAGACGCUAGUUAUAUCUAUCGUUAAUUUUCAUCAUUGAAAACAACAGGUCGUUUAUAGCAACCAUUAAAAAUUUCUGUCAUUGAAAAAAAAAAUCCUGAUUGAAAUCCACCGACAAAUUUUUACUGACGGAAAUCUGUCAGUGGAAUUUUUUGAAAUUGGAAUAAAAAUCAGUGGAUGAAUUCAUUUCACUUUUGAACAUAAAAGUAUCAGCUGUUCAGGAAAAUGAAUUUCCGUCUGGAAAAUAGAAAAACGCAUUUUAAGAGAAAAAUAACUGUGCAAUUACACUUUUUUUUAAAUUCUUUGAGUGAUUUCCGAUCGAUCGAUAUAUAAUUAUCAUUUCUAAUCAAAGGGAAACAUCUUCAAAUAUCGAUUCAAACAUUUUUCCGGAUUGAUUCAACAUCAACAGCAAAAAAGAACACAAAUUGCAGACUGUUUCAAUUUUCGAUGAUGGAUCUUACUGCUGGCUUUAACUAAAUUAAAGUUUCACGGCCUUGGAAGUUCCCCAAGAACUUUGCAAAUUUCAAGCUUUUGGAACGUAUAAGGCCCAGUUAUAGAUUUCAUUUUUUUUUACUAUUCAAAUCGAGCAUUGGAAUUUUUGACAGGUGUCAAACAUAGCGAUCAUUCACAACGUAUGUCAUUGAAAAGAAAAAUUUGUCCAGAUUGAAAUUGAAAGCGAAGCCAUUAAGUGUGUAUUGUGUAAACAAAGCAAAUGAAAUGCCCGCCGCCGCCUCAAGUGGAACGAUUUUGUUCCAAAUGAAAGCAAAUUCAUUAUUGAAAACAAUAAUUGACCUAAGGACCCAGUUGUAGCUAUAUUUGGUUUAAUCAUUGAAACCAAUCUUUGAAAUUUUUUUGACAGGCCGUUUAUAGCUUAUAUGAACAAUUUCUGACAUUGAAACAAAUUUCCUGAUAUCCACAUACAAAUUUUUACUGACAGAAAUCUGUCAGUGGAAUUUUGUGAAAUUGGAAUAAAAAUCAGUGGAUGGAUUCAUUUUACUUUUGAAUAUAAAAGUGUCAACUGUGCAGGAAAAUAUAAAAAUACAUUUUCAUCGAAAAAUAACUGCAAAAUUUAAUUUUUUUUCUCAAAAAAGAUUCUUUGUGUGACUUCCGAUCGGUCAGAAUAUUGUACAUGUAUGUACAUAAUUUGUAUUUCUAAUCAAGGGGAAACGCAGUCAAAUAUUAAUUUAAAAGAUUACGGAAAAAAUGCAUUAUAUUUGAAAGUUAAAUUUACUUCUUAAAUCCAUUUAGGCGUCAGUAAUAGCUAUCAUUGAAAUCGAUCCGGACAAAUUUUUUAAUCGAUAUUUGACGGUGUUUCGCUUUGAUUAGAAAUGAAAAUUAUAUACUGAUCAAUCGAAAAUCACACAAAGAAUUUUUCUUGGGAAAAAAGUGUAGCUGCGCAUUUAUUUUUCUCUUGAAAUAUAUUUUUUUAUUUUCCGGACAGAAAUUCAUUUUCCUUCGGUUCAGCUGAUCCUUUUAUAUUUAAAAGUGAAACGAAUCGUUCCACUGAUUUGGAUUCCGAUUUCACAUAAUUCCAAUGACAGAUUUCUGUCAGGAAAAAUUUUUCGGUGGAUUUCAAUCAGGAAAUUUUUAAGGAUAGCUAUAAACGACCUCUCAAAACAAUUCCAAUAUUUGUGUUCAAUUAUGAAAACCAAUGAUAGCUAUAUUUGGCGCCUUAUAAUAUUUUAAUGCUGACUGUCAAAUGUCAAACAUAUUCAUUUUUGACUUACUAAUGGCUUUUCAAUUUUGUCUGUUCUGAUAUGGCAUCAUUUAAAAAAUUACCGUCAGUAAAUCAGCAGCAAAAAGAACAAAAAUUUCUUUGUUUGAGAAACGAAGAUCGUGUUAAUUAAACGCCUCGAAUUUAUUGACGUAAAUUAGUUAAAAAUUGCCGAAUGUUUCAAUUUUCAAUAAAGGAUCGUACUGCUAGCUAUAUCUAAAUGAAGCAACUUGGUCAAAUAGGCUCACGGCCUUAAAAGUUCUGUCUUUUACCGAAUAUUGAGUUUUCUUGCUCUCUUCGAAUUUCAAGACCGUAUGAAUGAAUGAAAUAUCCCCAAGAACUUUUCAAUUUCAAGCUUUUGGAACUUUUAAGGGCCAGUUAUUGUUUUCAUUCAACUCAAUAAUUGAAAUUUUUGACAGGUGUCGAAUAUAGCGAUCAUUCAAAUUAUGAAAUUAAGCAAAAAAGUAUGUAUUCUAUAUAUUAUAAGGCAAACGAAACGCGUCAAGUAGAACGAUUUUGUUCCGAAAGUGAUUUUAUCAUUGAAACCAAAAAAUGAACUAAGGGCCUUGCAUUUUUUUGACAGGUCGUUUAAAGCUAUCAUUUAAAAUUUCUGUCACAGGACAAUAGUUUUGUAACUGGAAUUGAAAAUGUUUGAGGUUAGAUGUUUUCAUUGAAAGCAAAACUGACAGAUGGAAAUAAGAAUAUAAAUAAAAUGGAACGCUUUCACAUUUAAAAAGAAAGGUUCUGCAUUUUAUAAAAGAGAUCUUCAUCUAUAGCUUUAGUUUCCAAAUAUAAUUAACAUUUUGACUUUCUCAUUUGCUUUUAAGGGGCCAGUUAUAGCUAUCAGUAAAAUUUGAAACAGGAGGAAUCUGAGAUGUUUUACUAAUGAGAUUUUAUAGCAAUCACUAAAUUUACGUCAUUACUCGUAAAUGUUGUUUUCUUUCGAUCAUAACAUCGAGCUUCACUCCUCAGACAAGUUUUGGUCUGUUCUUUUUACCAGUAAAAUGUUUGAUGAUGUGAUCAGAACAGUAAUAAUUGGAACACCAACAGUAAAACGAAAUGGAAUUUUGUUUAGCUUUUGGCAGUCAGCUGUUCAGUUAAAUGAAAUGUCAUCAUUAAAAAAAUAAACCUUUAAAUGCAUUGUAUCUUUUUGAAAAAAUACUUGAAUAUAGGCUUCAUCUUAUUGCAUCAAUCUUUUGCUAAAAACAAACGUUUUACUGAUAGCUAUAACCGGUCCCUAAAUAUCAAAACUAAUUUUUUAAUGAUGCAAAUAAUAAUAGUUGUGUAUAAAACUGUCCCUUUACUGUACUCUAGUUUUAUGGAGUUAGUCAAAGCUUUAAUAGGUCUUCAUCAUUGGAAUUCAGUGAAUAUUUCUUUUCAUUAAAAAAAAGCCCUUAUUGAAAUCCACCAUACAUUUUUUUUCUGACAGUAAUAUGUCAUUGGAAUUGUGUGAAAUCGGAACCCAAAUCAGUGGAACGAUUCGUUUCAUAAUAAAAUCAUUUGUUCAAGAUAAUGAAAAAUAAAUGUAUAGUUUUACUCGAAUUAUUUCCAAUCGAUCAAUACAUAAUUUACAUUUUUGAUCAAAAAGGCACCACAUUCAAUAAAAUAUUAAUAAAAACAAUGACAAAUUUCUGUCAGAGAAAAUUUUCCAAUGGACUUAAAUUAAAAAAAGUUUUUCCAGUGAUCAAAAUUAGCGAUCUGUCAAAAACAAAUUCCAAUGAUGAAAUGAUAAAUGAUAGCUAAUCAUUACCUCCCCUUAGAGUUGUUCGUUAUAAAUUCUCAAAUUGUACCUGUCAUCGGGAAUCGCAAGAAUAAUUUACAAACUUCUGUCAGACAAAAUUUUCCAAUGGAUUUAAAUCAGGAAAAGUUUUUCCAGUAAUCGAAAUCACCGAUCUGUCAAAAACAAAUUCCAAUGAUGAAGUGAUAAAUGAUAUUUAGCAAUAGCUGCUCCCCUAGAACUCGUCAUUAUAAAUUUUCAAUUUCAACCUGUCAUCGGGAAUCGCAAGAAUACUUUACUCAAUUGAAAUGUGUCUGCUAACGUGAAUAAUAUCCAAAAGUGAAUAACAUUUUCCCUCUAAGUUGAGUUCUAAUAAUUAAAUUUUGAUAAUGUUUUUCAUGUUCCAAAGUUUCUGAGUAUCAAUCAAUAAAGAAAUUAACUCAGUCUUGAUUUCAAAUUCAAAAAAAUAACGUCUGAUCUACUCGAAAAGUUACCGACGGACUUACUCCUAAUUCUAUGCAAUGUUCAUUUGUCUAAAAACAACACUAACUUGUCAGAUUUUUAAAGUCAAGUUGACUUUUUAAAAAAGUGUUGUUCACAAGUUUGAAUUUGGAAAAAUCUUUACAAUAUGAAAAAGAGAAACAUAAUACUUUUCAUUAUAAUCGGUAGUAUUCUGCAAUGAAUUUAGGAUAACAUUUAAAAAUAUAAAUGGUUAAAUCAUAACAUCUGUUUGACUUUGUGAAUAAAUAAGUACAUAAAUGUCAGCGUUUAUUGGGAUUCUGGAUUUUCCAAUUCAAAAUCAUCUCAUUUCUUCCCUCCAAAUAAACAAUAAACGUAGAACAACAUAUGUACGUAUUUUUCAAAAAGAAUUUUGCUCUCCAUGUUAGAUUUUUUGAUUUGAAUUUUUAAAAUAAUAUUUUUUCAAACUAAUUUCAACUUUACAGUUUGGUACGUCAAAACGUUAGGUUAUAAAAAUGCCAACUUCAUUUUUCACCAAGCUGUUAAACGAAGUGCAAAGUUUUCAGUUCCAUAAUAUGAUUUCUUGGAGUUUUCGGACCAUUUACUGAAUUGAAUGGUAACAAAUUUAUCAUUUAUGUAAACAUUUUCACGAUACAUUUGAAUUUUUGGUGCAAAAGUUGAGUUCUCUUGACAUUAUUUUUUAAAAUUGUUUAUUUAUUUAUUUGUUCACUACUAAACCACUGAUAUUUCAUUUUAAAAAUAUUUCCUUGUUAAAACAAAGUGAAUACAACUACAUAAUGUGACCAAUCAAAUUGUUUAUAAAUUAUUUUUAACGCUUUAAACAUUUUCAAUCAUAUAUAUUUGUAUAUAAAAAAACAAAAACUUAAUUGAAUAUUUAAUUAGAAUCCUGUUAAUAAUUUAUUAUUUUACUGUAUAGCUACAUAUAAAUUUAAAGAAAACAAAUCUAUAUAAAAUUGUCUAUAGUAAUUUACAAAAACAAAAAUAAAAUUAAAAAAGAAAAUGUAUAAGAUUUAUAAAAUAAAAAAACAAAAAAAUAAUAAUCUAUACUUAAGUGAUACAAAAACAAAUGAAAAUAAAAAAAAAAACAACACAAAGAGAAAACAAUAUACAAUAAAAUAAAAAAAUAAUAAAAAAAAUCAUUAAAAUUAAAUAAAUAAAAAAAAUAAUAAUAAUUUAUUGUUUGUCUUAUUUUAUUUGCUUCCAUCAACUGUCAUUUCAUUUUCAAUUUUAUUUAUUUUUCCAUACAGAAUGUCUGCGAGCGAAAGGUAGGUAAGUUUUUGAUAGUCACCAAGCCACCACACAUUACACCAAUUGAAAAAGAAUUAAACAAAUAAAUAUUAAAACUUAACAAAAAAAUCGCCUCACAUUCAUCUGCUUAUUUUUGUUUAUCAAUCAAAAAUCUUUAAAAUGUAUUUUACGGUACAUAAAAAUAUCAAUAUCAAGUCUUCAAGUCAAAAUAAAACCAAAAAAUUAAAGAAAAUAUUUUAAAAAAAUAUUAAAACAACUGAAUACAUGAAUUCCUAUAACAAGAAAAACAAACACAAAAUAAAAUAAAUUAUUAUUAUAAAUAAAGUCAAAUAAAUUAACUUAGAAUUUCAAGCGAUUUGAAUAAAAGCUUACAUUAAACACAAAACAAACAAAAAUAAAAGUAUUAUUACCUUAUCCAAAGAGUUUCACAUAAAACAAAAUAAAACACAAAAUAAACAUUUAUCCAUACUAAAUUAAAAAAUAAAAGAAUAAAAACGAAACAACUGAAAAUGUUGAACGAUAAUAAAACAGAAUGAACGCUUUAAAAUUGA